UCAGCAAUACGGUGCGUUUUGAUGCUUCCUUCCCGCUUGGGCUAGUCGACAGUUAAGAAGCCGCCAAAACGCUGCGUUUUCGGUUCAAAACCCUCUCCAAAAACCCUGAUUCAGCUCCGUGGCCCAUAUUGGCGGCAAAGCCGUUGUAGCUUAAACAGACUCUGCAACUCUUCCCCUUCCAGUUCUUCGAUCUGAAGCUCAACAGGUUGACAUAAAUAUUCUGUCUAUUGUAGAUUCUGUGUGAAGUUGUAUAUCAUCCAUAUGUUCAUUAUCGUUAUCUCCUUUGAAUGAUUCUCAAUGUUGUGGCCUUUUCAUCUUUGCCUGUGUCGUUCUUUCUCGAAUGGAAUACUCAAUCGAUGCUCAAAUUGUUAUAAUUGGAAAGGUUAGUUCAAGAUUCCAUGCUAGUUAUUUUGAGAGGAAUUUUGCAUUGAGUUUCCAUUUCUUUUCCUCGGAAUUAAUAGUAAUGUACAGAUGAUUUCGUGUUCUUGGAAUGUGCGAUGACUGCGUUAUGUUGAAGCUAUAAAAAAGAUUUGUGUUCUGGAUUUUUCUUCUUCAUGUAGCUUUGUGGCAGAAGAUAGCUUCAAAUGUACAACAGCCUGUGGAGCUAUAACCUGCAAUUUAGAAGAUUCAGAUAUACUCUUCCUCCAAUUAUGGAGUUUUUUUUUUUUUCUUUUCAAUCGCUUGUAUUCUAACAUAUCAUGCCAAAGAACAUACUGAGUUCAUAUUCUUGAAUGAGAUGCAGAUGCCUACAUAUCUCAUUCUUGCAUAGAAGUAUGAAAGAGAUGCUAAGAAGUACUGGGAUAUCUUUACAAAAAGCAUCAACACAGAUUUCCCCAGAGAAGAUGUCCCAGGUGUGGCAUAAUCUAGCACUCAUUGAGUUCCUACGUUUUUCACAGGUAUCGCUAUGAACGGAUUUGUUCUAUGCACAUGGUGACUUUGCUUGUUAGGAACCACGAACCUCUGCAAUAGCUUCUACUGCAAAAGAGUUGUUCUAGAUCUCGUCUAGUAAGGAUACAGAAUGUGCAUUGAUUCUUUGCCACGUCCUGCGUCGAGUCGAUGAGCCAACGAUCGUUUCAGCUGCUAAACGAUUCGGUUUUGUCCCAAAUCAUUGUGAGUUCUUGGUUCACUGAUAGAUACUAGGAUAUCCCCAGUACUGCUUUGAAUAUUAUGUAUUUUCAUAUUUCAUAUCAGCUUUCCUUUUAAUAUAUGUCAAGGGGCGUAGAAUCAUUAUGUGAAGGUUUUGAGUUGAUAUUUAAGCUUUGUUUAAGAUGGUAGAGCAUUUAUUUGUACAAAGGGAAA